rnacentral:rRNA from 1 species
AAAAGAAACUAACAAGGAUUCCCCUAGUAACUGCGAGUGAAGCGGGAAGAGCUCAAAUUUAAAAUCUGGCGUGCCUCUGGUCGUCCGAGUUGUAGUCUGGAGAAGCGUUUUCUGUGUCGGACCGUGUAUAAGUCUCUUGGAACAGGGCGUCAUAGAGGGUGAGAAUCCCGUCUUUGACACGGACCACCGAUGCUUUGUGAUGCGCUCUCAAAGAGUCGAGUUGUUUGGGAAUGCAGCUCAAAACGGGUGGUAAAUUCCAUCUAAAGCUAAAUAUAGGCGAGAGACCGAUAGCGAACAAGUACCGUGAGGGAAAGAUGAAAAGCACUUUGGAAAGAGAGUUAAACAGUACGUGAAAUUGCUGAAAGGGAAACGCUUGAAGUCAGUCAUGUCUGCCAGGACUCAGCCUUGCUUCUGCUUGGUGUACUUUCUGGUCGGAUGGGCCAGCAUCGAUUUUGACCGUUGGAGAAAGGCUUUGGGAAUGUGGCACCUUUGGGUGUGUUAUAGCCCUUUGUUGUAUACAACGGUUGGGAUCGAGGACCGCAGCACGCCUUCAUGGCCGGGGUUUGCCCACGUACGUGCUUAGGAUGUUGGCGUAAUGGCUUUAAGCGACCCGUCUUGAAACACGGACCAAGGAGUCUAACAUGCCUGCAAGUGUUUGGGUGGAAAACCCAUGCGCGUAAUGAAAGUGACGGCUGAGAUCCUCUCAUCAGGAGCAUCAGCGCCUGGACUCGAUCUACGGAGACGGUUCUACGGUAGAGCAUGUAUGUUGGGACCCGAAAGAUGGUGAACUAUGCCUGAAUAGGGUGAAGCCAGAGGAAACUCUGGUGGAGGCUCGUAGCGAUUCUGACGUGCAAAUCGAUCGUCAAAUUUGGGUAUAGGGGCGAAAGAC